rnacentral:rRNA from 1 species
UACGGAGGAUGCAAGCGUUAUCCGGAAUGAUUGGGCGUAAAGCGUCCGCAGGUGGCUGUGUAAGUCUGCUGUCAAAGAGCGAAGCUCAACUUCGUAAAGGCAGUGGAAACUACACGGCUAGAGUGCGUUCGGGGCAGAGGGAAUUCCUGGUGUAGCGGUGAAAUGCGUAGAUAUCAGGAAGAACACCGGUGGCGAAGGCGCUCUGCUAGGCCGUAACUGACACUGAGGGACGAAAGCUAGGGGAGCGAAUGGG